rnacentral:rRNA from 1 species
UACGUAGGGUGCAAGCGUUAAUCGGAAUUACUGGGCGUAAAGCGUGCGCAGGCGGUUUUGUAAGCCAGAUGUGAAAGCCCCGGGCUCAACCUGGGAAUGGCAUUUGGGACUGCAAGGCUUGAGUGCGGCAGAGGAGACUGGAAUUCCAGGUGUAGCGGUGAAAUGCGUAGAUAUCUGGAGGAACAUCGGUGGCGAAGGCGGCAUCCUGGACCGGUAUUGA